rnacentral:rRNA from 1 species
GGACUACUCGGGUAUCUAAUCCUGUUUGAUCCCCUUGCUUUCGCGCCUCAGCGUCAGGUAUAAGCUAGAAAAUCGCCUUCGCCACCGGUAUUCUUCCACAUAUCUACGCAUUUCACCGCUACUUGUGGAAUUCUAUUUUCUCCGCCUACCCUCUAGACAUGCAGUUUCAAAUGCCGUUCCGAAGUUGAGCUUCGGGAUUUCACAUCUGACUUGCACGCCCGCCUACGCGCCCUUUACGCCCAAUAAAUCCGAUUAAUGCUUGCACCCUCCGUAUUACCGCGGCUGCUGGCAC